ensembl:lncRNA
GAUUCCGACCGCGCCCGCCCGGUGCUCCCCGCCCGGGUCGCGCUGCGACCGCGCCUCUGCUGCCCGGCAAAACCGGCCCCGCCGGGCCGCCCCCCGCCCUGUCAUUCCUCGCGGUCGCCGCCCCGCACGGCGCCCACUCCUCUUCACCGCUCUGGCCCCGCUCACGCACGGCCGUGUCCCUUGGCGCUCCGAACCGCCCUUCGCCCCUCCCCUCCGCUGACAGACCCAGCCCCGCUCGCUCCCGCUCCUUGCCCUUGCCACGCUCGGCAGCCACCGAGGCCGCCGCCCUCUCGCCUCAGCCGGCACCGGGCGGCAGCAGCGCCGCCCAGCUCAGCCCGGGGGCAGGGACAGAGCAGAGGGAAAAGCCGGGGCAGUUCUGUCACAAGAAGCAACAGUGCACGCCCAGAAAAAUAGCUCAAGGCAAGGUCACCUUUCAUACUGAAGCAUUCCGUGAAUAUGACCAGCAGAGACCCCUCUUAAUGAAUCUGCAGGACCAUCAAAAGACUUCCAGGAGGAGAAGCAUUGCAACUUGCUGGAAUUCCAGAUUGUGUCAAGUAUGACACUUCACAUUUGUUCAGCAGAUUUAUUGUGCUGCAAGAGGGAGCUACCCUGGGUCAGAGAUGACAUUGGAGAUGGAGGCUUCUGAUAGGUAAGUUAAGGACUGCAAGUAUGAGUGGGAGCAGGGUCCCAGUUAGUAGCUGACUUGUUGGGAUUUGGCUUGUAUGGCACUACACUGGUGCAUUGAUUUUGGUUUUCUUUGUCAUAGCUGACUAAGAGGCCAACCUGGUGAUCCCAGUGCCUUUGGAGAUGGCUGAGGUGGACUCCUUUUGCAUCCAGUGUGGAUUCACAUCACUGGUCAUCUGAAAGCUAAGUUGGGGGCCGGGGCCCAGAGAAGGGAUGAUAGCAGGGUAGUGGGUUGGAAAUUCCUGGGAGAGAUUAAAAAACUAGCGUAGGGGAAAGGGAUGCUCUCCAAGGGGCUUCUUAGGUAAGCUAAAGGGAGCAGCCCUACUUUUGACUGCAACUGUAGGGUGUGCAGCGCAGAGCAGUUCCAGUGUGUGUUGUCUUGUCUGGUGUGUGUUCUGUGUCUUUGGCUUCCCUUGGAUCCGAUCUCUCUGCCUUUUACCCUUAAGGGGCUUAUCAUAAGCCUUGGCCAUCAUCUCUAGCUUCUAGAACUUUCCUACUUUUCGGUAGGAUGCCAAUAUCACUUGUUCUUUUACCAGUGGGCUCGGCCACAUCUUGGAAUCACAUCUUGAAAGCAUUGAGUCGGAUCUCUUUUGAGGCCUUGUUCCCGGCUGUACUGCCAUCCAUCCUUUGCAGCCGUGAGCUGUAAUGUCCUGGGGCUUGUAAGAUUGUCAGGAUAUGGGAGCAUUCUAAAUGUGGCCUUGUCUCUCACAGCCAUCUUGAUCAUUGUGACUGACAGUUCUUAGAACAGGUCACUGUUCCAGUCUUUUCUUCUGCUCCUUAGAGCCAUCUUUCAUCCACCAUUGCCAUACCAUCAGUUGUCUCUUUUGGCGUCGUCUCUGUCCUUGCCAUUGUUCUUCUUGCCGAGAGCUUUUUUUAUCAUCUUCAUGUCACACUGCUUGUAGUAUAAUGUGUUGUUUGAGUUUGUGUCUAGCCUGGAAUUGCUCUGCCCUGUAGAGUAGUCCUGGGGGGGGGGUAGGUGGAGAAGAAAGGAGACUUUACAGGGAGCCUUUUGCUUUGCUCAGCCACCUGAGCCACGCCUCGGAUGGAGUGACUGUGGCCAGUCUGUGUGGUGUUCAGUGGAGACGUGGCAGUGGUGCAGUGGUGUCUUGCAGUUUCAUAGUAGUUUGUCCUAAGGCCCACUGUUGUGGGAUCCUAGGCAGUUUGCUUUGAGGAAUGAGAACUUGGGAAAGGCUAAGCUUUCCUUGUCUGUCUGGGUAACUUUGACAAAUACUUCUUUUGCAGGGGGAUAGCAUGUAAACCUGAUAUGAACGGAGGAGACCAGAGGAGCACAGCAGUGAGGUGGGUCGGUGCCUGAAGUCCAAGCUACGGCCUGACUUUGGGCUCUACGUUUACCUCGCUGUUGGGAUUUUCAUUUUGAAGAUGCGAGGCACUUGGCACAGCAGGGUAUUGGCACCGGGGGGACCGUGAGCUGGAUGAGUAUUGAUUCCAGCACAGAACUGGAUGCUACUGGAGUUGUUGUAUUAGUGAUGAAACUAUAAGGAGCCUUUGAUUUUUUUUUUUUUUUGUGUUUUACAGGUGGUCUGCCGCACUGAAAUCGCUACUCCAACAUGACAGACACCCUUGCAGAAAGAGGUCACAGUUGAGCAGUUUCAUGUGGAACCUACCUUGGCAAUGCAACACUUUUGGACACUACAUCGGCAUGUACCUUUCCAUUUUGUUUUUCCUCUUCUCCCCUGGGAAGGUUGGUCAUCAUUCAGCUUUUCAGGGGUGGUGUUUUAUUUUGGUUAUGUUGCAGGGCUGUUCUUUG